UGGGGAAUAUUGGACAAUGGGCGAAAGCCUGAUCCAGCCAUGCCGCGUGUGUGAAGAAGGUCUUCGGAUUGUAAAGCACUUUAAGUUGGGAGGAAGGGCAGUAAGUUAAUACCUUGCUGUUUUGACGUUACCAACAGAAUAAGCACCGGCUAACUUCGUGCCAGCAGCCGCGGUAAUACGAAGGGUGCAAGCGUUAAUCGGAAUUACUGGGCGUAAAGCGCGCGUAGGUGGUUCAGCAAGUUGGAUGUGAAAUCCCCCGGGCUCAACCUGGGAACUGCAUCCAAAACUACUGAGCUAGAGUACGGUAGAGGGUGGUGGAAUUUCCUGUGUAGCGGUGAAAUGCGUAGAUAUAGGAAGGAACNCCAGUGGCGAAGGCNACCACCUGGNUAUACUGACACUGAGGUNCGAAAGCGUGGGGAGCAAACAGGAUUAGAUACCCUGGUAGUCCACGCCGUAAACGAUGUCGACUAGCCGUUGGGAUCCUUGAGAUCUUAGUGGCGCAGCUAACGCGAUAAGUCGACCGCCUGGGGAGUACGGCCGCAAGGUUAAAACUCAAAGGAAUUGACGGGGUCAUAGCUG
rnacentral:rRNA from 1 species